rnacentral:tRNA from 1 species
GGAGAGGUGCCGGAGUGGCCGAUCGGGCCGGUUUCGAAAACCGGUGAACCUUCGCGGUUCCGUGGGUUCGAAUCCCACCCUCUCCG